rnacentral:rRNA from 1 species
CCUACGGGAGGCAGCAGUGAGGAAUAUUGGUCAAUGGUCGCGCGCCUGAACCAGCCAAGUCGCGUGAGGGAAGACGGUCCUAUGGAUUGUAAACCUCUUUUGUCGGGGAGCAAAAGACGCCACGCGUGGCGUUCCGCGAGUACCCGAAGAAAAAGCAUCGGCUAACUCCGUGCCAGCAGCCGCGGUAAUACGGAGGAUGCGAGCGUUAUCCGGAUUUAUUGGGUUUAAGGGGUGCGCAGGCGGAAGAUCAAGUCAGCGGUAAAAUUGAGAGGCUCAACCUCUUCGAGCCGUUGAAACUGGUUUUCUUGAGUGAGCGAGAAGUAUGCGGAAUGUGUGGUGUAGCGGUGAAAUGCAUAGAUAUCACGCAGAACUCCGAUUGCGAAGGCAGCAUACCGGCGCUCAACUGACGCUCAUGCACGAAAGUGUGGGUAUCGAACAGGAUUAGAUACCCCAGUAGUC